GAAUAGCUUUUUUUGUAAGAAGUGGUACAGCAUCUGCCUGGCAGGCAGAAGGUCCCAGGUUCAAUCCCUGGGAAGGACU